rnacentral:tRNA from 1 species
GAAGUGGCGCAGGGGGAGCGUGAUGGGCUCAUAACCCAUAGGUCGGUGGAUCGAAACCACCCUCC